GACAAAAGUUUCUUAGAAAGCCCCCUUGCUACCAGAAAGAUCUCUUUAACUUGUCUUUAUGGGUUAAAAAGCUGGCUUGCUAUUUAAUCUAAACACCAAGGAGCCAUAGGAAUAUUCAUCUUAACAGUCUGGCUCUGGGUAAAGCUGAGAUAAACUUUAAUUGAUUUUGUUUGAAAUUGUCAACAGUUUUGCUUUAACAUUGGAAUUUCGUGAUCCUUAGCAUACUGUCCAGUUUUCCAUCGCUUUUAGCUUAUCAUUUCUCGUUCAUGUGGGAGCGUUUUGGAGACGCUUAGUGACUUGGAGAAUUUUUUUGUUUAUGUCAUGCGUUAUAGCAUUGCUUGAAUUCACUUGAUGCUUUGUUAUGCUCAAUUACUGUUAAUUGGGUGUUGCACAUAGUAACUGAAAAGACAUGUGCUUCUGUUUAUUUGAUACCAAAUAAGAAAUAACUUUUUGUAUCUCCAUCUUUAAGGUAGCCUAUAGAAUCAUAGAAAGAAAAGACAUCUGUUAAAUGAUAAAACAUAUUUAUCUGUCAUUG
rnacentral:misc_RNA from 1 species